rnacentral:rRNA from 1 species
GAUGAACGCUGGCGGCGUGCCUAAUACAUGCAAGUCGAGCGAACAGACGAGGAGCUUGCUCCUCUGACGUUAGCGGCGGACGGGUGAGUAACACGUGGAUAACCUACCUAUAAGACUGGGAUAACUUCGGGAAACCGGAGCUAAUACCGGAUAAUAUAUUGAACCGCAUGGUUCAAUAGUGAAAGACGGUUUUGCUGUCACUUAUAGAUGGUUCCGCGCCGCAUUAGCUAGUUGGUAAGGUAACGGCUUACCAAGGCAACGAUGCGUAGCCGACCUGAGAGGGUGAUCGGCCACACUGGAACUGAGACACGGUCCAGACUCCUACGGGAGGCAGCAGUAGGGAAUCUGCCGCAAUGGGCGAAAGCCUGACGGAGCAACGCCGCGUGAGUGAUGAAGGUCUUCGGAUCGUAAAACUCUGUUAUUAGGGAAGAACAAAUGUGUAAGUAAAUAUGCACGUCUUGACGGUACCUAAUCAGAAAGCCACGGCUAACUACGUG